ensembl:lncRNA
AACAUGGUUAAAUUAUUUAAGGCCUUGGUUGAGUCUAGGAUUAGAUUAAAGUAUGAAUUUUACCAAAUGAAUGGUGAUCUUCCAAUGUUUGAGAAGAAAUGGUGUGUAAACAAAGGGGUGACUUAUAAGAGGCGAGAAUCUCUUUUUCAAUUGGUAAUGGUUGUUAAAACAAUGUGUUCUGUAUGUUAAGGUUUUUUUAAUUGUAGAAUAAAUUAUAUUUUAAAAGUCAAAGUCUCUCUCUCUCUCCCCCUGCAGAUGUGUUGUUAUCUCUAGCAUCCCUGCUGGUGCCUCUGCAAAUUACACCUGCAACAUGAGGGGUCGUCAUGUGAACAUCAUCAUUCCCAAUGUUAUCCAGGCUCUCACGCUCUGUGAAGUGGAAGUCUAUGGGGUUCCAGUGCCUGUUACUAAGAGGGCAUUUCUGAGAUUGAAGUUUAACAUCAACGAUAUCUGCCAAUGCCCAGCCUUCAGUGCGUCAGAUCUGUUGGACUACAGAACCAGAGGUGGAAAAUGAAAC